AUGGCCUCCUUCCCCGCUGAUUUACUUGGCACCCACAUCACCCUUCUCCGCCUGAAGGAAACCACGACCAUGCCACCACUUGCUAUGACCGCCUGGUGGAGAUCGAGGCCAAGAACUUCCCCCUCGAGCUAUGGCACCCAUAGGGCGCAAACUUUGUGUUCGACCACUUUGGGGUUCUCUGCUGCAUCGACCAGAACAUGCUCUCCCAUGGUGACUUCACGAUGGUGCGUGCCUUUGUCCGUGUCAAGAGUGACAACGACACGCCGGACGGCUGCAUCCCCCGGCUGCCCCCUACCUAGGUCGUUGACGUUAAGCUUUGCCACGUCAAGACAUGGGAUGUCUUUGAGGAUCUCUCUAUCCCUCUCAAUGAUGACAACGACGACGAUGAGUUCCACGACCCGCACAUCCAUGGCGCGUGGCGGUGGAAUUGUAACCGCGUUGGGUCCUGCCAACGUUAUGCCACCUCCCUCAUCGUCUGGUUUCUCCUUCAGGGCCAACGAUGUCAACGUGUUGCAUCCGCUCGUGGGUGGGCCUCUGCUUCCUCGAGCUGCACCACUCAUCGAUGCUUUUGUCGACCCCGACAUCGACCUCUCCCCUGUCAACGACGAGCAAGAGGGGGACCUGACCAACCUGGCAGACGAGCACUCCGCGAUCUCGCCUGCUAUCACCAUCUCCAACUCCUUCUCCUCACUCGCGGUCAAUGACGACGACAUUGGGCUUCCUGUCUCGCCCGAUAAUGCUCAGUCUCCUAGCUCCUUGUUACUUGUUUCAGUUACUUCUGCCCUGCUAAUUAACCUCUCUAUCCCCUCCCCUCCCUUACCCACAGCCUCGCUCACCUGCCCUGGCCAUGAGGCUAGCCUGUGGCGUGCUCAUGUUGCUGAGAAGAGGGUUGUGGACGCGGAGAAGCUCCGCCAUAGCCAUCGGCUUGCUGACAAGACCUCCAAGGCGGGGGGCACCUUUGUCGACAUGACCACCAAGGCCAUGCGCGCCAAAGCUUGCUGCUUCGACCUUCAGUUGGCCUCGACGGACCUCGCUCCGCCCUUGAUGACUCUGGCCUCACCAGCGUGCCGGAGGAGUCGAUGA
rnacentral:rRNA from 1 species